UAUUAAUCCAAAUAGAAAUUCCAAUUAAAGUAUAUUAAAAUAGAACCUAAUUUUAAAAAGGGAUCUUCUACAGAUACUCUUGAAAAUAUAUACCACAUUUUUCAUCCAGAAGGACGACUCGCCAGUGGGAACUAUCAUCCCUAAUGCCGUUCACUUACCGUGGUCAGAAAAGGUUAGCCAAGAAGUGCAUGGGAGGAAGCGGAGCGAAAAAACUGACAGCUUACGGAUAAUUACCGACAAAACACACACACACUGGCACACACAGAUGCAGCAGCAGCUAGCCGCCGGAGGAGAUGAGGGACAGAGAUCCGAUUGGAGCAUUUAGGGCUCUUUGUAUACACCUUUUAGCUCUCGGGAAUUUCGUGUGCCGCACGAGCGCAGUGAGCCGAGUACAAAACCAAACUGUCUGCGCAUUCCUGGAGCUGCUCCG